UCUCCGAGGUUUCUCCUGACAAGUAGGCGAAGCACAUUUUGGAUGAUGUGUGACGUGACACCAAUAGGGAGCAGUCGCAGCUAGGAAUCCGUCACAUCCCUCCUGUUCCAGUAUAGCAGCUGAUCGCAAAUGCCGUGGAAGGCAAGAUCUGCACUAAUAGUACCCCUGGAACACGGAUGAGAAGACGACGACGGACGAAACAUCCAUCCUGGCUGUCGUUCCAUGUGUUUUCGCUCACGUACAUUGAGAAGGACAUUUUUCGCAAGAAUCACAAGUGGUGGAUUUAAAGCCGGGGGAGUCGUCCUGUUUUUAAACCAGGAAUUCUGAAUGGAAGCAGAGGGAGCGGCUAGCCUGUCUGAGGUCGGGGAUGGCAGUCCGUUAUCUGGGGCCGCAGCAUCCGAUGAGACGGAAACAGUCAUUGGUGUCGGUUAUGGGAUGGAGGCAGGCGACAUGGAUGCUGCUGCCAGAAAGGCCUUCAUCACAGAGAUGCCCUCGUCAUCAGGUCUGCCAGGCUAUGGCCAGGGGAAGAAGAUCGGCCACAGGGGCGUGGACGCAUCCGGCGAGACCACAUACAAGAAGACCACCUCGUCAGCGCUGAAGGGGGCCAUUCAGCUGGGCAUCGGCUACACAGUGGGCAACCUGAGCUCCAAACCCGAGCGUGACGUGCUCAUGCAGGACUUCUACGUGGUCGAGAGCAUCUUCUUCCCCAGUGAAGGCAGCAAUCUGACUCCAGCCCACCACUACCCAGACUUCCGCUUCAAGACGUACGCACCCGUGGCGUUCCGCUACUUCAGAGAGCUCUUUGGAAUCAGACCAGAUGACUACUUGUACUCGCUGUGCAACGAGCCGCUGAUCGAGCUGUCCAACCCCGGGGCCAGCGGAUCCGUCUUCUACGUCACCAAGGACGACGAGUUCAUCGUCAAGACGGUCCAGCACAAGGAGGCGGAGUUCCUGCAGAAGCUGCUGCCCGGCUACUACAUGAACCUGAACCAGAACCCUCGCACGCUGCUUCCCAAGUUCUACGGCCUUUACUGUGUGCAGUCGGGUGGCAAGAACAUCCGUGUGUGUGUCAUGAACAACAUCCUGCCCCGCGUGGUGUCCAUGCACCUCAAGUACGACCUGAAGGGCUCCACGUACAAGCGGCGAGCCUCCAAGAAGGAACGGGAGAAGUCCAGACCCACCUUCAAGGACCUGGACUUCAUGCAGGACCUCCAGGACGGCCUGAUGCUGGACACGGACACCUACAACGCCCUGGUGAAGACUCUACAGAGAGACUGUUUGGUGCUGGAGAGCUUUAAGAUCAUGGACUACAGCUUGCUGCUGGGGGUGCACAACAUCGACCAGGCCAAGCGGGAGCAGCAGGUGGAGGGCUCGCAGGCGGCCAGCGACGAGAAGAGGCCCCUGCCCCAGAAGGCCCUCUACUCCACCGCCAUGGAGUCCAUCCAGGGCGGCGCCGCCUGCGGAGAGGCCAUCGACACGGAGGACACGAUGGGUGGCAUUCCAGCUGUCAACGGGAAAGGGGAGCGCUUGCUGCUCUACGUCGGAAUAAUUGACAUCCUGCAGUCUUACAGGCUGAUCAAGAAAUUGGAGCACACGUGGAAAGCUCUUGUUCACGACGGGGACACUGUGUCUGUCCACCGGCCUGGUUUCUAUGCAGAUCGCUUCUUCAAAUUCAUGAGCAACACCGUCUUCAGGAAGACCUCCUCCCUCAAGUGCUCACCCUCAAAGAGGGGUCGCGUGUCCUUGACGACGACGACGGUGCCCAAGUACGCAGGCCCCGGGGCGGCGUGGUCGGCCAGCCAGCUGCCCUCCGAGAGGGACGAGAACAUCUACGACCUACGAGGUGCCCGCAGUUUCCCCACAAUGGACGAUGAAGGCCGGCCAGACCUCCUGCCCUGCACCCCGCCGUCGUUCGAGGAGGCCACCACGGCGUCCAUCGCCACCACCCUCUCCUCCACCACCUCUCUGUCCAUUCCAGAACGCUCCCCGUCGGACACCUCCGAGCACCCCCGCUACAGGAGACACACCCAGUCCCUGAGCCACGAGGGCAGGACUCAGGAGGAGGACCAGCAGACCAUCACAGUGGAGGUGGAGGUAAAGAGGCACGACAGUGAGCCGACCAUCAGCGCCCCACAGCCCUCGCCAGAGACAAGUGAGGUGCCAGAGGCCUCUGCCUCUGCUGCUGCCGCUGCUGCCACCACCUCCGCUGCCGCCUCUGCCUCCGCCUCCCCCGUCCCGGCCAGUCCCAAGGUGAUGGUGGAGUCCGACCAGGUCAGCCAGACGUCCGGGUGUCCCAGCAGGGCUUCCAUAGACGAAGACGAGGACGUGCCAAUCACAGACAUCUACUUCGUAAGCAUCCUGUUCUUUCUCUUUCCAAAGCCCUGAAAUAAGAGAAGCAGCCGGUGAGAAAAGCCUCCAGCCCUGCUUUUAGAAAUGAACAAGAAGGUCCCAAGAAGACCGAAUGUACCCUCUGUGGAAACCCCACCCCCUCAUACAUUCCAUCUCAUACGUGUUUCUCAUACACACCGUCACUCUCUGUCACCAUAUCAUUGUAUGACCAUUUACAUAACAGAACUGACAACAGAGCAGAAUGACCGGGACAGCCAAAUCGAAAAGCUGUCAUGGUCACUAGUAGAGAAAGACCGGGGCUACACCAGGCACAUAACCAAAGCACUCUGUUUGCAGAGUGUAAAAAUAGUUCUAGGAGACGGUUUUUCAAAAUGUUUAAAGGCACAUGCUGCUAGCACGUCUGGUGUAGCCUGGUCCAUUGAUUAUAGUGGAAGCUAAUUAUUGCAUCAGACGCUCAGAAUGCUUCAGUUACGGGCCCGGUGUGGCCUCCCUGUAAGAGUCAGUGUCUGAUGCUCAGAAGGGAUGGGCUACUGUAACUGUACGUUGCCCCACAGAAACCCAGCGGAGAGGCCAGCGUGUAGCUGGGAAGGGUGAGCGAGCUGAGAUCGGAAUGCGAGUGCCAUGUGUGUGUGUGUGUGUGUGUGUGUGUGUGUGAUGAGUCGAGUGGCCCAGUCUGCCUCUGGUGUCGUCUCAGUCCCUGUCACCAGAUCGCCGGGGCUCGGAUCUCACUCUGAGAUUACGGUUAAAGCUGACACCCAGCACAGCGCCGGGCCCACAGAGAUAUCCUCCUCUGGCCCUGGCUGCUCUCCCUGAGACGGUCUUUCUGAGAUGGCGGGGAGCAGACUGAUGACACCUCCUCCCUCUUGAUCUCACAGCAUGCUGUCAACAUGCUCUGUUUAUGAGACUGCAUGUGUUUGUGUGUGUGUGUGUGUGUGUGUGUGUGUGUGUGCGUGCGUUCUUGCUGUUUUUCCUGUCUUUGCGUCAAUGUGGUAAUUGUCUUGCAUGCCCUGCUGUGAUCUGCCUAAAAAUAGAAUAAGACUUCUGCUUGGGUUGGGCCAUUAUGUUUUCCACUUCUUGCUAUAACUAGUGGUAAUUUGGUUAAACAGCGUGGGAUGGAUUGGAGUGACGAUUUGCGAUGUGUCUGUGUAUGUGUGUUUGCGUGUGGGGGCAAUGUCUUACUCAUGGGCUAAUUUAUGUGUUGAGUGGAGGCAAUGAUGAGGGUAGAGGCUAAAAGCAUCACAUUGUCACCCUCUGUCUGCUGUAAUCAUUGUAGGAAACUGGUUCACACCUAGGAAUAGAACCAUGAUACAUGAUUGUAUGGUCCGGAUGUGACACUUUUUCGUGCAGGCCAUAAACUAGGUAAUAAAGGUAAAGAUGUGUCCAGUCACUUAUGACCACAAAAGUGUGUGUGUCUGUGAGUGCCUUCACUGACGUUGGUUGAAAGUUGAUGAGGGAAAUGAUCAUCCUUGUUUAGCAAAAUGAAGUAAUUGGCACUUCGUAAACAACCCUGCCCUGAUUGAGCGGGGAGAUGGAGUUGGUUGAGUGGAGGUUUCCGAGACUGCUCUCUGCCCGUCCGCUCUCUCCAGAGCUCCUGCGUGGCAGUGGGGAGGUGGUGGCGUACCGCGCCGGCAUCGGGUCACAUCUGAAUUAUUCAGCCUCCGCCACCUUGCGUUACACACGCGCUCCUCUCCGCGCCCCCGGCUCGCUGCGCUGGAUUGAUCUCCGUCAACCGGCGCCACCCUCUGGGGGUGCUCUGGCUCCACUGGCACAGCCCAGAGAGAGAAGACCCAGCCGAGACACAGCAGGCCGCGCUGUAGUUGGACCAGACGGUAGACUUUAACGUGCCCCUUCAUCAAACAUUAUGCUCAUUUUAACACAAGCCAACCACCCAGCAACACACAUCACACAGUUUGUCUCUCUACAGUGGUAAUCACAAGGCCUCUCUACUUGGGUGCGGUGGUGGCGUCUGGGAGAGACUCAGUCAUCUCUCCACAAUGCCCCUUGGGAGCACAUCACUCUGAGUCACUCAUUUCUCAGUUGGCAUUGCAUAGGACUGGGAAACAGAUGUUCUGUCGUGCCACCCAUGCCAUCUUCAUUCCAGUGGUCUGUGCCAUCUCUCCUUAUCUCUCUCUUUUUUUUCCCGCUCUGUCUCACUUUUCCCCUCUCCAUCCUUCCACGCUGGCGGUGCUCCCAGUUUUCAGACGGUUGUCUGCAGGUGUCGUCUCUUGCACCACGGCCAGUCUCUAUUCUGUGCUGGAGUGUAAGUCCCACAGGCAUUUCAGUGUGCUGCUCUAGCUGCAUCCACAUAGUCCCCCCGACAUGUUAGAACACUGAUAGCUACCAAUGUUUUUUUCAGAAUGUGUACCAUCUCCAGUUAGCAUGGGUCAGUCAGAGUUGAAUUAAAGCCGCAGUCUGCAAUUCUAAUGUCAUAUUCUUUUCGUUAAAUUCAGCACAUUGCUUCUUCCAGUCCUCAUCCUGUAUGUUCAGUAUGUGCACUUGAAAAAUGGUAGUGUUCACACACAGGCUCUGGUUCUGUAAAUAGUACACAAGCAUAGUGGGUUGGACCGAGCAAUAAACAAUUCCAAACAAACAUGGAGCUUCAGGACCAUGGAAGGGAGAGGUGUAAUUAGAUUGGCUGUUCAAAUAUAAUAUCAACAACCUUUCAUAAGAAUUGCGGACUCCAUCUUUAAAUCUAGAUUUUGCUGUAAAGACAACAGAAAGAACUGUGAGUUAACAUAGUGUGAAAAGUUAUCCUUCCUGUAGUAACUCCCAGAACUGUAGAAAUUUGACAGUGUCACAAAACGCAGACAAGAUGGAGACGAGUAAGAUCAGCAGUCUCCUCUUUCCCUACCUCUUUCUUUGGUGUGAAAUUGGUGGGCUGAACCUCAGUGUUGCUCUUUUCACAUCAGCUUGUAAGACAUCUAUUUGACCAUUGGACUGGUGUUUGUAUAGCACAUGAAAAGCCCUCACAAAGACGCGUAUAGAGGGUCUUUUUUUCCCCCUAUCCCCCUGCCGCCAGAGCCCGUCACCCUCGGAACUGAGUACAGAGCUCCCAUUGAGAACUUAAUGGACUCCUGUAGGCGUGUGUGUUUAGGGAGGGUGCAGUUUGUAGUCCCUUUGCUGUGGCUGUCCUGGCACCGUUUCCUCCUGCCCACUUAAUUUGUCUCCUUUCCUGGCUGCAGCCACACAGCACCCCGUCACACUCCCCCUGUCCUGCUUGAACUCACCCCCACUUGCUAGAAGACAAGACGGGGGUCUGAAGAUCUCAUGUAGACAGCCACAGAGCAAUCCUCCCGUAUAGGCCUCUAGAGUUCCCAACCUUGAAUCAAUCUGAAUGCAUGAAGAGGAGUCGGUGGUGUUUUUGUCUUUGAUUUGAUCAUAGCAGUAUGCCCUCCGAGCCCUUGUUCUGUCUCUCUCUCUGUGUCCCCCAACCCUCCACCCCACCCUACACACUCCCUCAUCUUGUCCCCUUGCUGCAUUUCUAAUGUUCUUCUCCUGCCUUGUCUUCUCUUCACUUUCUCUCCCCCUCCUCCUCCUCUUUGCCUGCCUGUGCUGCCUUCUCUCUCUCUCUCUCUCUCUCUCUCUCUCUCUCUCUUUCUGUGUGCAUCGACGGCUUGCUUUGUGUGGUGCCCUCUGCUG